AUUUUAAGAGUUUGAUCCUGGCUCAGAUUGAACGCUAGCGACAUGCUUUACACAUGCAAGUUGAACGGUAAUUAAAAAUAUUUUAUAUUUUUAAACGAGUAGCGAACGGGUGAGUAAUACAUUAGAACAUACUUUAUAGUGGGGGAUACUUUAGUGAAAAUUAAAUUAAUACCGCAUAAUAUUUAAGAAUUAAAGCAGGGGAUUUAUUUUUUUUAUUAAUUUUAAACCUUGCGCUAUAAAAUUGGCUAAUGCCUGAUUAGUUAGUUGGUGAAGUAAAGGUUUACCAAGGCUAUGAUCAGUAGCUGUUCUGAGAGGAUGAUCAGCCACAUUGGGACUGAGAUACGGCCCAAACUCUUACGAGAGGCAGCAGUGGGGAAUAUUGGACAAUGAGCGAAAGCUUGAUCCAGCAAUGUCGCGUGUGCGAAGAAGGUUUAAGAACUGUAAAGCACUUUUUUAUAGGAAUAAAAAGGAUUUAAAUAAUACUUCAAUUCUAUGACAGUACUAUAAGAAUAAGUACCGGCUAAUUACGUGCCAGCAGCCGCGGUAAUACGUAAGGUGCUAGCGUUAAUCGAUAUUAUUGGGCGUAAAGGGUGCGUAGGUGGUUUAUUAAGACUUAUGUUAAAUUUUUAAGCUUAACUUAAUUAAAGCAUAUGUUACUAUUAAACUUGAGUAUAAUAGGGGUUGAUAGAAUUCUGUGAGUAGCGGUGAAAUGCGUAGAUAUACAGAGGAAUACCAAUGGCGAAGGCAUUCAACUGGGUUAUUACUGACACUGAUGCACGAAAGCGUGGGUAGCAAACAGGAUUAGAUACCCUGGUAGUCCACGCCCUAAACAAUGUCAACUAGUUAUUAGAUUAUUAUUUUUAGUGACGUAGCUAACGCGUUAAGUUGACCGCCUGGGGACUACGAUCGCAAGAUUAAAACUCAAAGGAAUUGACGGGGAUCAGUACAAGCGGUGGAUGAUGUGGAUUAAUUCGAUGAUACACGAAAAACCUUACCUACUCUUGACAUGAUUGGAAUUUUAUUGAGAGAUAAAAGUGCCUGUAAAGGAACCAAUACACAGGUGCUGCAUGGCUGUCGUCAGCUCGUGUCGUGAGAUGUUGGGUUAAGUCCCGCAACGAGCGCAACCCUUGUCCUUAGUUGCUAAAUAAAUUUUUUUAAAAGAACUUUAAGGAGACCGCUAAUAAUAAGUUAGAGGAAGGAAAGGAUGACGUCAAGUCCUCAUGGCCCUUAUGGGUAGGGCUUCACACAUCAUACAAUGGUUGAUACAACAAGUUUGCAAUAUCGUGAGAUUUAGCUAAUCUUUAAAAUCAAUCUCAGUCCGGAUUGUACUCUGCAACUCGAGUACAUGAAGUAGGAAUCGCUAGUAAUCGCGGAUCAGCGUGCCGCGGUGAAUACGUCAACUGAUCUUGUACACACCGCCCGUCACACCAUGGAAGUGAAUUUUAUCAGAAAUAUCUAAUUUAACCGAAAGGAGGGUUUUUAUUAAGGUAGAAUUUAUGACUGGGGUGAAGUCGUAACAAGGUAGCCGUACCGGAAGGUGUGGCUGGAUUACUUUUAAAUA
rnacentral:rRNA from 1 species